rnacentral:rRNA from 1 species
GGCCAGACUCCUACGGGAGGCAGCAGUGGGGAAUAUUGCACAAUGGGGGGAACCCUGAUGCGGCGACGCCGCGUGGGUGAAGGAGUCCUUCGGUACGUAAAGCCCUAUCAGCAGGAAAGAAAAUGACGGUACCUGACUAAGAAGCCCCGGCUAACUACGUGCCAGCAGCCGCGGUAAUACGUAGGGGGCAAGCGUUAUCCGGAUUUACUGGGUGUAAAGGGAGCGUAGACGGCAGUGCAAGUCCGGAGUGAAAGCCCGGGGCUCAACCCUGGGACUACUCUGGAAACUGUAAAGCUGGAGUGCGGGAGGGGCAGGCGGAAUUCCUGGUGUAGCGGUGAAAUGCGUAGAUAUCAGGAGGAACACCGGCGGCGAAGGCGGCCUGCUGGACCGUAACUGACGUUGAGGCUCGAAAGCGUGGGGAGCAAACAGGAUUAGAUACCCUAGUA